GACGAACGCUGGCGGCGUGCCUACUACAUGCAAGUCGAACGCAGUGGGGACGGGUGAGUAACACGUGGGUAACCUCCCAUCAGAGGGGAUAACCCUUGGAAACCGGUGCUAAACCGAUACUGAUGGAUGGACCCGCGGUGCAUUAGCUAGUUGGUGAGGUAACGGCUCACCAAGGCCACGAUGCAUAGCGGCCCUGAGAGGGUGAUCGUACACCCUGGGACUGAGACACGGCCCAGGAUCCUACGGAAGGCAGCAGUAGGGAAUCUUCGGCAAUGGACGAAAGUAUGACCGAGCAACGCCGCGUGAGUGAAGAAGUUGUUCGGAUCGUAAAACUCUGUUGUUAGAGAAGCGGUAUCUAACCAGAAAGCCACGGCUAACUACGUGCCAGCCGCCGCGGUAAUUC
rnacentral:rRNA from 1 species